rnacentral:rRNA from 1 species
UGGGGAAUCUUGGACAAUGGGGGCAACCCUGAUCCAGCCAUGCCGCGUGAGCGAUGAAGGCCCUAGGGUUGUAAAGCUCUUUCACCCGUGAAGAUAAUGACGGUAGCGGGAGAAGAAGCCCCGGCUAACUCCGUGCCAGCAGCCGCGGUAAUACGGAGGGGGCUAGCGUUGUUCGGAAUUACUGGGCGUAAAGCGCGCGUAGGCGGAUGUUCAAGUCGGGGGUGAAAUCCCGGGGCUCAACCCCGGAACUGCCUCCGAUACUGGACGUCUCGAGGACGGGAGAGGCGAGUGGAAUGCCGAGUGUAGAGGUGAAAUUCGUAGAUAUUCGGCGGAACACCCGUGGCGAAGGCGGCUCGCUGGUCCGUUUCUGACGCUGAGGCGCGAAAGCGUGGGGAGCAA